rnacentral:misc_RNA from 1 species
GAUGAAGAACGCAGUGAAAUGCGAUAAUUAAUGUGAAUUGCAGAAUUCAGUGAAUCAUCGAAUCUUUGAACGCACAUUGCGCCCGCCAGUAUUCUGGCGGGCAUGCCUUUUCGAGCGUCAUUUCAACCCUCAAGCUCAGCUUGGUGUUGGGACUCGCGGUAACCCGCGUUCCCCAAAUCGAUUGGCGGUCACGUCGAGCUUCCAUAGCGUAGUAAUCAUACACCUCGUUACUGGUAAUCGUCGCGGCCACGCCGUAAAACCCCAACUUCUGAAUGUUGACCUCGGAUCAGGUAGGAAUACCCGCUGAACUUAAGCAUAUCAAUAAGCGGAGGA